rnacentral:rRNA from 1 species
GAUGAACGCUGGCGGUAUGCUUAACACAUGCAAGUCGAACGGACUCUUCGGAGUUAGUGGCGGACGGGUGAGUAACGCGUGAGAAUCUGGCUUUGGGUUCGGGACAACCACUGGAAACGGUGGCUAAUACCGGAUGUGCCGAGAGGUAAAAGAGAAAUUGCCUGAAGAUGAGCUCGCGUCUGAUUAGCUAGUUGGUGAGGUAAAGGCUCACCAAGGCAGCGAUCAGUAGCUGGUCUGAGAGGAUGACCAGCCACACUGGGACUGAGACACGGCCCAGACUCCUACGGGAGGCAGCAGUGGGGAAUUUUCCGCAAUGGGCGAAAGCCUGACGGAGCAAUACCGCGUGAGGGAAGAAGGCUCUUGGGGUGUAAACCUCUUUUCUCAGGGAAGAACAAAAUGACGGUACCUAAGGAAUCAGCAUCGGCUAACUCCGUG